AGCGACAUUGGCAGCCCAAACAUAGUUGAGAUGCGAAAAGAUCUUCAGCCGACAAAGAACGAUUGUGUGAAGCAUAUCUUUGAAUGCGUGCAAAGCAUAGCUGCCGCUGCAUGUGUUCCUUUGUCUCUCACUUAGUCUAACGGCUGAUGCGUUACACACAUCACAAAUACUUCUUGCCAUGACAUUAUCAAAUUAAAAUACAACGCAGUUGAUAUUUGCGGUUGUACUGAACGGAUUGCAUUUUGUGUGAAGCAAAAGAGGAAAUAAGGAUUGUGAAAAUGAAGAUCGUUCAUUGGAUGCUGCUAUUGCUUUUUUGUCUAUCACAUUUGAGUGAUGCCCGUUUGGAUUUUUGGCAUGGAAAAGAGCGCAAACUAAAAUCACGAUUCAAUGACUUGAACCCGAACAAAUUCUCUCCCGUCAUAUUCAUUCCGGGCGAUAGAGGCAGCCAGGUUGAAGCCAAAUUAAAUAAGCCAUCAACGAUUCAUUUCUAUUGCGAGAAAACCGCUGAUUUUUUCAACAUUUGGUUGAAUCCAAAGCUAUUGGUGCCAUUGGUCAUCGAAUGUUGGAUCGAUAAUGUAAAAGUAUGAAUCAUUUUUUGUGUUUCUGAA